UCGAGGGACGAACCGAGUGCUUGCGCUUGGGGAAACCGGCGAACGGGUGAGUAACACGUGAGGAACCUGCCCUGUACACCGGGAUAACUACGGGAAACCGUGGCUAAUACCGGAUGCUCCACCUUGAUCGCAUGAUCGGGGUGGGAAAGCUCAGGCGGUACAGGAGGGCCUCGCGGCGUAUCAGCUAGUUGGUGGGGUAAUGGCCUACCAAGGCUACGACGCGUAGCUGGAGUGAGAGCUCGAACAGCCACACUGGGACUGAGACACGGCCCAGACUCC
rnacentral:rRNA from 2 species